rnacentral:lncRNA from 1 species
GGCUUUGGGGCCCUCCUUCUAGGUGACCACCAGAUAGUCUUCUCCUGGGUGCCUUCAGAACAAGAUGUAGAACUCUCAGCUCCUCCUGCGCCAUGCCUGCCUGGGUGCUGCAGUGCUUUCCACCUUGAUGAUAAUGGACUGACCCUCUGAACCUAAAGAAGCUCCUCCAAUAAUGGCUGAGCCACACACUGAUCUAUGAGCAUAGCAGAAUGUCAUCAGGAGUCAUUUUAUUGGUACGUUCCUUUAGCAAAACAGUAGUGUUUGGAUUUCCCUAUGUCUCUAAGCUAUCUAGUCUCAUGCUCAUAUACAGAUCACAUAAGGG